rnacentral:rRNA from 1 species
ACUGAACGCUGGCGGCGUGCCUAACACAUGCAAGUCGAGCGGUAACAGGUGUAGCAAUACAUGCUGACGAGCGGCGGACGGGUGAGUAACGCUUGGGAAUCUGCCUAUUAGUGGGGGACAACCCGGGGAAACUCGGGCUAAUACCGCAUACGCUCUACGGAGGAAAGCCGGGGACCGCAAGGCCUGGCGCUAAUAGAUGAGCCCAAGUCGGAUUAGCUAGUUGGAGGGUAACGGCCUACCAAGGCUACGAUCCGUAACUGGUCUGAGAGGACGACCAGUCACACCGGAACUGAGACACGGUCCGGACUCCUACGGGAGGCAGCAGUGGGGAAUAUUGGACAAUGGGGGAAACCCUGAUCCAGCGACGCCGCGUGGGUGAAGAAGGCCUGCGGGUUGUAAAGCCCUUUCAGUGGGGAAGAAAAGCCUCGACCUAACACGUCGGGGUCUUGACGUAACCCAUAGAAGAAGCACCGGCUAACUCUGUGCCAGCAGCCGCCGU